ACUGCACUUCCUGCCAUUUUUUUUUUUUUUUUCUUUCUUUCUCUCUCGAGCCCACUCGGAAGACACCACAAGAGGAAGUCAACCUCAGGAGAUACAAACAAAACAACUUCAGAUUCUAGCUAUACCUCGAUGUCCCUAAUAUCCCUAAGGAAUAAACAGCCGCCGUGCGUGUCGGGAAUCGUAGGCUGUCAAGAAACAGCACAGGAACCAUUAGACGGAGUUAUUGUCCUAACUCCGGAUAGGCCAUAGGGGCGAAUCACCUUCUGGGAAUUGUAGUCUAGAAGCCUAAAAUCCAGACUUCAAAGGAUUAACUGGAAUGCACCCAAGGAAAUGUCACCUGGGCCUUCGAAGCACACUCAAAGAAGUCUUGGAUCUCUUUUUUGCACGCACUGUCGCGGAAUUCAUUCUGUUUCCAGCAAGCCAUCAUCACCGACAUCUCUGUGAUACAUGUUGCCUCUGGAGAGGAAGAACUGGGAACCUUCAAGUCACAGUGAGUUCACCUUCCCAGCCGUCCCUUCCCCAGUCCAGUUUCCGCUCCGGAGCCUCCCCGGUUCCCACUGCUCACCUCCCUUCUCCCGGCGCCGCUCUCCAACGCGGUUAGCUAGGAUGAGAGGUUUGUUGGGCUUCAGUGUAGGUUUCCGCGGGUUCGCAAGCCGCACUAGGCGUCCCCGUAGGCUGGGCGUCGCCAUUGCGCGCCGCGCUCCCAGCACCCACCGCGGUGCCGUGCGUGACCCCGCGUGACCCCGACGGAGUCAAAAACUACCCGCUCGAGGUGGUGCGUACCUCUGGUCUUGGAUGUGGUAGCGAGCACUCAGGGUUCGAAUGUUCGCCGGUCCUUCGCCGUCAGCAGGUUAGAAGAUUCGAACUUUCAUGCUCGCUCACUCGUGAGAGCAUUUAAGUCUGGGGGCAGUAAGAAGCAGGGACAUCCAGGAAAUGCCCCUUCCUCCAUAAGUGGACCCUCGUUUCUGAUGGUGACCAGCUGGCCUAGAGAGUGAUUGUCAUAGACAAGGGCAAAGAUGAUGGGAUUUAAACAAACUAUGAGCCCUGAGAGAUUGGGGAAGUUGUUUUUGUUUGUUUUUAAAAUCGGUACCAGGGAUCCAACUCACGACUGCGCGCUUGCAAGGCACGCGCUUAUGCCGCUGAACUAAAUCCCCAGCCCCUAAGUCGUUGUUUUAAUAAACCAACAAUGCCACGUGGGUAAUGAUGGGAAUGAUGAGGGUUAAACGCCUUUUGAAGUCAUUUUAAUCGUCUUGACAGUCUCCUAAAGCUAUUUGAUACCGUCAUUCUUAUUUAUAGACUUUGUGAUGGUUCACCAGCCUUAAUUCUUGGUUUUGUUUUGUUUUCAAGACCUCUCGGCUGGUCCGAUGGCAGUGGGUUAUCAGAACUUAUUAACAUUAGUGUCACUAAAGUUGGUAUACCACCCCCCCCCCCGCUAAAUUUGACUGGCUUUUUUAAAAAAAGACCUCUCACUGUAGUUCAGGAUGGCCUCAAACUCGGGGCCUCAGCCUCCUGACUGCUGGAAUUACAGGCAUGCACCACCAUGCCCGACCACCAGACUUAGUUCUUAAGUGAGUUGGCUGUUUACAAAAUUCAGUUAGCCGGGUUUAGUGGUUGUAAAUCCAUCACACUGGAAGGCUAAGGCAGGAGGGUCCCAAAUCUAAGCCUAGGCAAUUUACAAGAUGCUGGCUGAGUGAAGUGGGGUAGGCACCUAGCUCAGUACACCCUGGGCUCAUGGGGUGGGGUUAGAAGGAGGCACACUCAUCCAAACACGGUGUCUUGAGUUCCCAAGACAUUGCCAGAUGAACUCCAAGAAAUGACUCUGAUAAUGGAAGCAUAAUUUGAACGAGGUAGUAGUUAAUAAGUAUUUUAGAGUAGCAAUAUUUAAAUACUUGGAUGUGUAAAUUUAGUGUUAAAAGUAAUUUGUCGCUGAGGAUAUAACUCAGCGGCACAUCUUCUGCCUUGCAAGCAUAAGGUACUGAGCUUGAUUCACAGUACAAAAAAAAAAUUUUGUCACAUUCAGAAUCUACCUAUUGAUACCUGCAUGGCUGACUCCUUCCCUUAAAGUCUUAUUUCACACCUGAAUUGACUGUGUAUGGCCUUGUCAACUCCCAAUACUCACUGUAAAAUGUAAGCACCAAGAGACAAGGUAAUAUCCUGUCCGUUGCUGAAUUCCCAGUGCUUAGAAUAGUGCAAAUAAAUAAACACUUGUUACAUAAAAAACUGCUUGAAAUAUUUUUACAAGUUUUCAACUUUAUUAUGCCCAUCCCUAAAAAAUAACCAAGCAGAAGAUAUGUUUAAAAAGCAGUUUAUUAUACAAAAUAAAACUCAUGAUAAUAUAAAAUAUCAAUACUUGCAAUCAAAACAUCAGCCUGUGCUCCACCCUCUCAUUCCAGCAGUAGAAGUAAAAACAUGACUGUCAAGACACUUCUACCAACAAUAACUACAACUGCAAUGAGUAGUACGCUGCUGCUACAUAGGAUGGAGCAGACAGAUCCCCAAACUAGAGAAAAUUCACAUUGCUUUCCUUCCCAUAAGAAAAGCAAAGCUUUAGUCCCUAAGUGUGGUUAAUCCUAGUUGUUUCCCAGGUGGAAUUGUAGCACCUGACUCUGUCUUUUCUGUGACUACUGUAGUUACAUGUUAAGAAUAACCAAGCCAGGGGCUGAAGAUUUAGCUUAGCGGCGUAAGAACCUGUCUUACAAGCAAGCGGUCCUGAGUUCGAUCCCCUGUACCGAUAAAAAAAAAAAUAACCAAGCCAGGAGUAUAGCUCAGG